CCAUGACCCAGUUUGACAGUUUCCCACAGAACUGGCGGGAAACUCGUUAACCCUUUCCCUCCUUUCUCCCCAACCCACUCCUCUUGAAUUCUCAGGUCCACUAUGAGCAGCGGCAAUCCUCGGAAGCGACAACAGUCGGCGCCGGCACCGUCGCCGCAGCUGCAGAAGAAACAACAGGCUGCCGUGGAAGAGGAGGACGUCGAUGAAGACAUCUUCCUCGAAGAAACAUUGCUUCAGUACGAUGAGGACUCCCAGGUCCUUCGCGAGCUCGAGGAGCAAUCCGCCCUCGCCGAGCGUCUCCGCAAAUGGAAGCGGCCUCAGCUUUCGCAAGCUUACCUCUCACAGUCGCAAAGCGUAGUAUUUCAGCAAUUGGAAAUUGACUACGUGAUUGGGGAGAGCCAUAAAGAAUUGCUGCCUAAUUCUUCUGGUCCUGCUGCCAUUAUAAGAAUAUUUGGAGUUACUAAGGAAGGUCACAGUGUUUGUUGUCAUGUACAUGGAUUUGAACCAUAUUUCUAUAUCAGUUGCCCUGCAGGAAUGGGUCCUGAUGACAUAUCUCGUUUUCAUCAAAUUCUUGAGGAUAGAAUGAGAGAGGCAAAUAGGAACAAUAGGGUUCCUAAGUUUGUCCGUCGCAUUGAAAUGGUCCAGAAGAGAAGUAUUAUGUAUUACCAGCAGCAGGGUUCUCAACCUUUUCUUAAAAUUGUAGUGGCAUUGCCAACAAUGGUUACCACAUGCCGUGGUAUACUUGAUAGGGGUAUUCAAAUUGAUGGACUUGGUAUGAAGAGUUUCAUGACAUAUGAAAGUAAUGUUCUCUUCGCUCUUCGCUUUAUGAUUGAUUGCGGCGUUGUUGGUGGAAAUUGGAUUGAAGUUCCAGCUGGAAAAUACAAGAAAUCAUCAAAGAAUAUCUCUUAUUCCCAACUGGAGUUUGAUUGCCUCUAUUCUGACUUGAUAAGCCAUAAGCCUGAAGGAGAAUUCUCAAAGAUGGCUCCUUUUCGUAUAUUAAGUUUUGACAUUGAAUGUGCUGGGCGUAAAGGCCACUUUCCUGAACCUACCCAUGAUCCUGUUAUCCAGGUAGCGAACCUAGUUACCUUGCAGGGACAGGAUCAGCCGUUUGUGCGUAAUGUUAUGACCCUUAAGUCUUGCUCACCAAUAGUUGGGGUUGAUGUCAUGUCCUUUGAAACUGAACGAGAGGUUUUACUAGCUUGGAGGGACUUUGUACGGGAAGUUGACCCUGAUAUAUUAAUUGGGUAUAACAUCUGCAACUUUGAUUUGCCAUAUCUCAUUCGGAGAGCUGAGGCCUUAGGGAUGGUAGAGUUUCCUAUUCUUGGACGAGUACGAAACAGCAGGGUCCGUGUGAAAGAAACAACAUUUUCUUCAAGGCAACUUGGAACAAGGGAAAGUAAAGAAAUUACUUUGGAAGGGAGGGUUCAAUUUGAUUUACUUCAGGUUGUACAGAGGGAUUAUAAAUUGAGCUCUUAUUCACUUAAUUCUGUCUCAGCACAUUUUCUUAAUGAACAGAAAGAGGAUGUACAUCAUUCUAUCAUAUCUGAUCUUCAAAAUGGUAACUCAGAAACAAGGAGGCGACUUGCCGUAUAUUGUUUAAAGGAUGCUUAUCUCCCUCAGCGGCUUUUGGAUAAAUUAAUGUUCAUUUACAACUAUGUGGAAAUGGCUAGAGUCACAGGUGUUCCUAUUUCAUUCCUCCUGUCUCGGGGGCAGAGCAUUAAGGUGCUUUCUCAACUUUUGAGGAAGGCAAAAGAAAAAAAUCUCGUCAUCCCAAAUGUCAAACAAGCUGGAUCUGAGCAAGGAACAUAUGAGGGUGCAACGGUUUUGGAGCCCCGUGCUGGGUUCUAUGAGAAACCCAUUGCUACUCUGGAUUUUGCAUCUCUAUAUCCAUCAAUCAUGAUGGCAUAUAAUUUGUGUUACUGCACACUGGUAACUCCUGAUGAUGUCCGCAAACUCAACCUCCCCCCGGAGUGUGUAAACAAGACUCCAUCUGGUGAAACAUUUGUCAAGUCAAAUUUACAGAAGGGAAUACUCCCGGAAAUUCUUGAAGAACUACUGGCAGCCCGUAAAAGAGCCAAAGCGGAUUUAAAGGAAGCGAAGGAUCCUCUUGAGAAAGCUGUUUUAGAUGGACGUCAACUGGCUUUGAAGAUUAGUGCAAAUUCUGUAUAUGGGUUUACGGGAGCUACCGUUGGUCAAUUACCAUGUCUGGAAAUAUCUUCAAGUGUUACAAGCUAUGGGCGGCAGAUGAUUGAACACACUAAGAAACUUGUUGAAGACAAGUUUAAGGUACUUGGGGGCUACCAACACAAUGCUGAGGUUAUAUACGGAGAUACGGAUUCAGUCAUGGUGCAAUUUGGUGUAUCUACGGUGGAAGAAGCCAUGAACUUGGGUAGAGAAGCUGCUGAUUUCAUUAGUGGAACAUUCAUAAAACCAAUAAGACUUGAAUUUGAGAAGGUUUAUUAUCCAUAUCUACUGAUUAGCAAGAAAAGAUAUGCUGGCC